GACGAACGCUGGCGGCGCGCCUAACACAUGCAAGUCGAACGAGAGAGAGGAAGCUUGCUUCCUCAAUCGAGUGGCGAACGGGUGAGUAACGCGUGAGGAACCUGCCUCAAAGAGGGGGACAACAGUUGGAAACGACUGCUAAUACCGCAUAAGCCCACAGGUCGGCAUCGACCAGAGGGAAAAGGAGUAAUCCGCUUUGAGAUGGCCUCGCGUCCGAUUAGCUAGUUGGUGAGGUAACGGCCCACCAAGGCGACGAUCGGUAGCCGGACUGAGAGGUUGAACGGCCACAUUGGGACUGAGACACGGCCCAAACUCCUACGGGAGGCAGCAGUGGGGAAUAUUGCACAAUGGGGGAAACCCUGAUGCAGCGACGCCGCGUGAGUGAUGAAGUAUUUCGGUAUGUAAAAACUCUAAUCAGCAGGGAAGAUAAUGACGGUACCUGACUAAGAAGCACCGGCUAAAAUACGUG
rnacentral:rRNA from 1 species